AUCACAGUCACGCGGAAUACUCUGCAUACACAACUACUUAAUUAACUACUUAAUUAACUAGACAUGACUUUUAGAUACUUUGUCUCAAUAAUUUUGUAUGUGGAUCUGGACCGAGCGGAGAUGCGGCCGGAUUUGCGGGGCGUGAGCAAGCCCCGCACGCCCAUCGGAUCAUCCUCCCGGAAUUAGACCGAGAAGUGGGCAGAGAUGCUGGUGAAGGGUGGACGCGAAACCACAGACCGAGUCUGCAUUGGUGCCUCUGUCGCAAAAUCGCCCAUUGCACUUAGUUUGCUCCAUUCGUAUUCCUCUCCAUUGACAGGACGCCGUACGGCACAAAACACGUCUCGGGUCAUGUGGGGAUCAUCCACAGACGGCCCUCAAUAAUUAUCAGCUAUUACUGGGAGAAAUUCGGAAAAUUGCAAUAGAUCGUCAUAAUAGGUGUCCAUCGAAAUGCUGGAUCGCUUGGAUGGUCCUUUCCAUCGCUUGGAUGGUCCUUUCCUUGGAUGGUCCUUUCCAUGGUAAAAAAGCGCCAGGAUUUUUCUGCAAUCACUUUCUUUAUUUUACAUACGAUUCUGACUGAUAAAGUUGCGCUGGAUGAGAAAGGCAAAAAAUGAUUGUAAUUUUGUACAUAAAAAGUCGUAUUAUGCAAGCAUUGCGUAUCAGUCAAAUUUUAUAUGUAACGUUGAAAAUAUGGACCCAUGCAUGAAUCUCAGUGAAUUUAUUUUCCUAGGUCAAAUUAAAAUAUAUACAUAAUACAUACAUGAAACUUGUAUAAUUUGAUGAGAAAGGGAUGAGAAAUACUCAUUACAAGUCUUCUUUCUCUGAAUACAAACUGUGGAAAAUGAAACUGGCCUGCUGCCUGUGGGCAAAUACAUAGAAAUCUCAGAUUCGACAGAGUGCUUUCUGGACGUCGUUUUGAGAAGCCCAAUAUCCUGGCAAAUAAAGAGCAACUGACAUGAGCCAUACUGAAAACCGUUUCGAAAAACGGGGCUCAUGCCCAUGAGGUUCGAAGCUGUUUGGCAUGCUCGUGAAGAACUGAUGCAAUUAUGCCGUCUGAUAUUUGCUUAAUAACGUUAUGCCAGCCUCUAAACACCACCGGAUAUCUCAAUAUUACACUAAAUAUUUUCUACAAAGGUUACUUUGGUACUGUUUAAUAUGUAAUGAAAUUGCCAACCUUCAGUCAAGAAACUAAAUUCGCUGAGAAUUUCAUUAGGAGAAAGGAAUGAAAAUGUCUUCAACUUGAUUUUCAAAUAAAUAAAAUGCGUGCUCUCUGAUAAAAUUAUUAGUUUGAAAAUUAUUUAUUUUUCUUUCGAAAUUUACAGUAAAAUGCAGUAUUUAAAACGAUAAUAUAGUGUACAUAGGUGUAUCAGACUAUCAGGUUGAAACAUUAUAAUGAAAUGACUUAAUGAUACUAGACUUUUUUAGCAAACACAUGCAAAUUCUAUAUUUUACGCGAUUCUUUUGCACUCACUCACACACCUUAAAA